GUGACGUCGCUUUCUCAUAUAUAAACCCGGCCCGGCGCCGAUUUAAUCAAACGAUUUCCAGUGAUCGAUCAGUGCAGUCGCUACAGUUCCAACAACUCACCUAAAACCUCGAGAUGUUGAUCGGAUCAUGCAGCCGUUACGUCACCGGAGGAAGAGCUCUCCAGACGGUUUACUGGAGGGCGAAGCCUUCGACAGGCGAAGAGUCGGCCAAGAUCAUCAAAACGAGCAAAACGCUGCAUUGGGGCCGAGAAAUCGCCAAAAGGCCUUACAUCAGCGAAGCGAUCAAAAACGGUCCGAGGUUCAUGUGAAUAUCAAGAAAAAUCCAAUGUACUUAUUGUAAA